CAGCUUCCACACCACAGGUUGAGCCAAGUUUGGAAUGUCCAUGGGUCAAGACCUUAAAUGGCUACUAUGGAGGCUUCAUAACUUUGAUUCCUAGUUAACAGUGUCCAAGAGACCCAAGAAAAUGGCCUUUGACAUUCUGAAAUCAGUACAUCAAUACAAAGUCAUGUAUGGACAUCAUGUGACCCCACCAAAGCGUACUUGUAAUGAACAUUCACAUAGGUAAUUCUGAAACUGAAGGAUAAACUGUUCCCUGAAAUCCUUAGGCAGUUUUAUUCUGCCUUAUACACUUUGGGAUGCCUGGAAACUUAGAUUAGUCUAAAAUCUGCAGAAAUUAAUAUAAUGGAAAGAUUCCAUGAAAUGACCUCAGCAUUGUUUAUACAGCAAAUCAUCCUUCCACUGAGGAACACUUUUGCCUAUUUUUAAAUCAUUGAACUCACCUGUUUUUAAAAUGUAUCUCUUUAUUUGAUGCUUGUAUAAGAAAACACUACAAUGCUCUUGUCUGCAGAAGACAGAGGUACACAGGCUACUUUUUCAGGACAAGAGAUAAAGUCUUAAUUCACUGAAUUCAUACUCAGUAGAAAACUUCCUUGUGUCUAGUGGUGCAGUUUAUGUGAGAAUGUCCCCAAAUAUCCUGGAAAAGAUACUGGAAAAUACCCAAACACAAAAAGCCAGACAAUAAGCCAAACAGAACAACAAAAGCUGGGCUAUGCAGAGAAAUAGAAUAAUCCAGCUGAGAUAUUAUGUAAACUUUAUGUCUGACUGCUCAUUCAGCUGGGCAGAGCUGCUAACAACAUGCCCUCAGCUUAAAUAACAGAGGAAGGGUUGGCACUGGGGAUGCUGCCUGGUCUUCUGCCAGCUUCAGCUUCCCCAGCCACCGUCAGCUGGAAUAGCUCAGGUACCUCGUUGUGCUGGGGAGCAGCACAAGAGCACUCAGCUGUGCAGAGAAGCGAUGGAAGCUGGCCCCAUUCCAUGGACUUUGGGAGCUGCACGGGAAAAUGCCAAGCCAAGAUCCCGCCAUAUGUCUGUGCAUAUCUGAUUGAAGCACAUGGAUAUCCCAUCAUGGUAUUCCCUCACACCACUGGAGAACGUACCUGCUGUUUUUCCCUAGCCAAGACACUGAGGUCACUUUAACUGCUGUGUUCCUGCUGAGCCAGAGGCAAAGCAUUUCUAGAGUGUCAGGGAUCUGUGGAGUGUGAUGGCCAAGGGAACUUGAACAAGACACUGACUUUGGAGCCAUAGUCAUAAGAAGA